CAGUAGCCGCGGUAAUACCGAGGGUGCAAGCGUUAAUCGGAAUUACUGGGCGUAAAGCGCGCGUAGGUGGUUUGUUAAGUUGGAUGUGAAAGCCCCGGGCUCAACCUGGGAACUGCAUCCAAAACUGGCAAGCUAGAGUACGGUAGAGGGUGGUGGAAUUUCCUGUGUAGCGGUGAAAUGCGUAGAUAUAGGAAGGAACACCAGUGGCGAAGGCGACCACCUGGACUGAUACUGACACUGAGGUGCGAAAGCGUGGGGAGCAAACAGGAUUAGAUACCCCCGUAGUCCCUGUCUCUUAUAA
rnacentral:rRNA from 1 species